rnacentral:lncRNA from 1 species
CUGACUAAUACAACCAACAUGCCUGGCUGCCCAGCUUUGAAGACUUUUUAAAGGGAUGAGUGCUAUGGAAACCAUUUGAAGUUUCUAUUAAUGUUCAGAGACUGGUUAAAAUCAUUGUUGCUCAGUGUGGUAGCCCUUGCCUUUAAUCCCAGAAUUUGGGAGACAGAAGCAGGGGGAUCUCUUAGUUUGAAGGCAGCCUAGUUUCCAGAGAGUUCUAGGCUAGUCAGGGCUACAUAGUAAAAUCUCGUCUCAAAACAAUAGGGGGGCUGGAGAGGUGGCUCAGUGGCUAAGAGCACUUAUUCUUUUGGAGGAUGGUGUUUGGUUUCCAGCACCCACAUGGUGGUUCACAGCCAUUCAUAACUCCAGUUCCAGGGGAUGCAAUGCCCUCUUCUGACCUCUAAGGGAAUCAUACACACAAUGAGGUGCAUAGACAAUCAUUUGGGCAAACCCAUGCACACAAAACAACAAAAAGCCAACCAAAUUGUCUCAAAGUGAUGAGACGGCAUGGUUAAUCUCUGUGGUGGUCUGAAUAGGUAUGACCCCAUAUGUUUGAAUGCUUGGCCCAUAGGGAGUGUCACUAUUAGGAGAUGUGGCCUUGUGGGAGUAAACAUGUUACUGUGGAGGUGGGUUUUGAGGUUUUAUAUGCUCAAGCUACACCCAUGUGGUACACAGCCUCCCUCAGCUGCUUGCGGAUGAAAGAUGUAGAACUCCCAGCUCCUCCUCCAGCACCAUGUCUGCCUGUAUGCCACCAUGUUCCCCACCAUGAUGACAAUGGACGAAGACUCUGAAACUGUAAGCCAGUCCCAAUUAAAUGUUUUCCUUUAUAAGAUUUGCCUUGGUCUAGCUGGAUGAUGGAGGUGCCUUUAAUUCCAGCACUUGGGAGGCAGAAGCAAGCAGAUCUCUGUGAGCUGCAGGCCAGCCUGGUCUACAAAGCAAGUUCUAGGACAGUUAAGGUUACACAGAGAAACCCUGUCUUGAAAAAUCAAAAGGAAAAAAAAAAGAUUUGCCAUGGUCAUGGUGUCUCUUCAUAGCAAUAGAAACCCUAAUUAUUAUGAGGAUCUCAAUUGUCAACUUGAUGAACCUUCGAAUCACCAGGAGAUGGACUUCUGGGCAUAAUUGAGAGGUGAGCCGAGCACAAGCAGCUGUUGCUCUCUGUGUUUACUUCCUGACUGCAGUUGCAACACGACCAGCUCCUUCUUGCUACUGAGCUGUGACCUCCUCCACUCGAUGGAUUGGAACCU